rnacentral:tRNA from 2 species
GGGGUGGUGAUGUAACGGCAGCAUGACAGUCUCCAAAACUGUUCGUUGGGGUUCAAAUCCCUGCCAUCCUG